UGGGGAAUCUUGCGCAAUGGGCGAAAGCCUGACGCAGCGACGCCGCGUGGGUGAUGAAGGCCUUCGGGUUGUAAAGCCCUGUGGGGAGAGACGAAUAAGGUGCAGCUAAUACCUGUAUUGAUGACGGUAUCUCCUUAGCAAGCACCGGCUAACUCUGUGCCAGCAGCCGCGGUAAGACAGAGGGUGCAAACGUUGUUCGGAAUUACUGGGCGUAAAGCGCGUGUAGGCGGUGAGGUUAGUCGGAUGUGAA
rnacentral:rRNA from 1 species